UAGGGAAUUUUUCACAAUGGGCGAAAGCCUGAUGGAGCAAUGCCGCGUGACUGAUGAAGGUCUUCGGAUUGUAAAGGUCUGUUGUAAGGGAAGAAGUACUAGAAUAGGAAAUGAUUUUAGUAUCGACCAUACCUUACCAGAAAGCCACGGCUAACUAUGUGCCAGCAGCCGCGGUAAUACAUAAGUGGCAAGCGUUAUCCGGAUUUAUUGGGCGUAAAGCGUGCGUAGACGGUUUUGCAAGUCUGAGGUUAAAUUUAGGGGCUCAACCCCUAACCGCCUUGGAAACUACAUUACUAGAGUAUAGGAGAGGUUAGUGGAAUUUCAUGUGUAGCGGUGGAAUGCGUAGAUAUAUGAAGGAACACCAGUGGCGAAGGCGGCUAACUGGCCUAUUACUGACGUUGUGGCACGAAAGCGUGGGGAGCAAAUA
rnacentral:rRNA from 1 species